rnacentral:rRNA from 1 species
UGGAUCCAGACUUUGAUCCUGGCUCAGGAUGAACGCUAGCUACAGGCUUAACACAUGCAAGUCGAGGGGCAGCGGGAUUGAAGCUUGCUUCAAUUGCCGGCGACCGGCGCACGGGUGAGUAACGCGUAUCCAACCUUCCGUACACUCAGGGAUAGCCUUUCGAAAGAAAGAUUAAUACCUGAUGGUAUGAUGAGAUUGCAUGAUAGCAUCAUUAAAGAUUUAUCGGUGUACGAUGGGGAUGCGUUCCAUUAGGUAGUAGGCGGGGUAACGGCCCACCUAGCCAACGAUGGAUAGGGGUUCUGAGAGGAAGGUCCCCCACAUUGGAACUGAGACACGGUCCAAACUCCUACGGGAGGCAGCAGUGAGGAAUAUUGGUCAAUGGACGAGAGUCUGAACCAGCCAAGUAGCGUGAAGGAUGAAGGUCCUACGGAUUGUAAACUUCUUUUAUAAGGGAAUAAACCCUCCCACGUGUGGGAGCUUGUAUGUACCUUAUGAAUAAGCAUCGGCUAACUCCGUGCCAGCAGCCGCGGUAAUACGGAGGAUGCGAGCGUUAUCCGGAUUUAUUGGGUUUAAAGGGAGCGCAGACGGGUCGUUAAGUCAGCUGUGAAAGUUUGGGGCUCAACCUUAAAAUUGCAGUUGAUACUGGCGUCCUUGAGUGCGGUUGAGGUGUGCGGAAUUCGUGGUGUAGCGGUGAAAUGCUUAGAUAUCACGAAGAACUCCGAUUGCGAAGGCAGCACACUAAUCCGUAACUGACGUUCAUGCUCGAAAGUGUGGGUAUCAAACAGGAUUAGAUACCCUGGUAGUCCACACGGUAAACGAUGGAUACUCGCUGUUGGCGAUAUACUGUCAGCGGCUUAGCGAAAGCGUUAAGUAUCCCACCUGGGGAGUACGCCGGCAACGGUGCAACUCAAAGGAAUUGACGGA